rnacentral:rRNA from 1 species
UACGGAGGGUGCAAGCGUUAUCCGGAUUUACUGGGUUUAAAGGGUGCGUAGGUGGGUCUGUAAGUCAGUGGUGAAAUCUCCGAGCUUAACUCGGAAACUGCCAUUGAUACUAUAGGUCUUGAAUUAUCUGGAGGUAAGCGGAAUAUGUCAUGUAGCGGUGAAAUGCUUAGAUAUGAUAUAGAACACCAAUUGCGAAGGCAGCUUACUACGGAUAUAUUGACACUGAGGCACGAAAAGCGUGGGGAUCAAACAGG